CAUGAUUUAGCCAGCACCCCCAAGCAAAGAGACCUUUAGUUUGAUGCCCCGAAACCAGGUGAGCUACCCCGAGACAGCCUAUAUUAAUCUAGGGCUAACCCGUCUCUGUGGCAAAAGAGUGGGAAGAGCUCCGGGUAGAAGUGAAAGACCUACCGAACCUGGUGAUAGCUGGUUGACUGAGAAAUGGAUAGAAGUUCAGCCUCGUACACCCCAAACCAAGAAAUGUUAUCGCCAAGAUAUUUAGGGAAACAUACGAGAGUUAGUUGAAAGGGGUACAGCCCUUUUAACAAAGGAUACAACCUUUACAGGAGGAUAAAGAUCAUAAUGUAUAAAAUAUACUGUUCUAGUGGGCCUGAAAGCAGCCACCUAAACAGAAAGCGUUAAAGCUCGGACAGAAAGAAGUUUAUUAUAUUGAUAAAAAAUCUUAUUCCCCUAACUAUAUCAGACCAACCCAUGCCCACAUGGAAGAGAUUAUGCUAAAAUGAGUAAUAAGAAGACCCGCUCUUCUCCCAGCACAAGUGUAAACCAGAUCGGACCAACCACUGGAGCUUAACGAACCCAACCCAAGAGGGUAGUGUGAUUAAGAGAGAACACGAGAAGACCUCACAUUAAUUGAUCGUUAACCCCACACUGGAGUGCUAUUUUAAGGGAAAGACUAAAAGAAAGGGAAGGAACUCGGCAAACACAAGCCUCGCCUGUUUACCAAAAACAUCGCCUCCUGCAACUAGACUGAGUAUAGGAGGUCCAGCCUGCCCAGUGACUACGGGUUCAACGGCCGCGGUAUCUUGACCGUGCAAAGGUAGCGCAAUCACUUGUCUCUUAAAUAGAGACCUGUAUGAAUGGCUAGACGAGGGCUUAACUGUCUCCCCCUUCCAGUCAGUGAAAUUGAUCUAUCCGUGCAGAAGCGGGUAUAAAUAUACAAGACGAGAAGACCCUUUGGAGCUUAAGGUACAAAAUUCAACCACGUUAAACAACUCUGUGAAAAGCAAGAACUUAGUGACAAUGAAAUUUUACCUUCGGUUGGGGCGACCGCGGAGGAAAAACCAGCCUCCGAGUGGACUGGGCCAAACCCCUGAAGCCAAUAGAGACAUCUAUAAGCCGCAGAACAUCUGACCAAAAAUGAUCCGGCUAAAAAGCCGAUCAACGAACCAAGUUACCCAAGGGAUAACAGCGCAAUCCCCUCCCAGAGCCCAUAUCUACGAGGGGGUUUACGACCUCGAUGUUGGAUCAGGACAUCCUAAUGGUGCAGCCGCUAUUAAGGGUUCGUUUGUUCAACGAUUAAAGUCC
rnacentral:rRNA from 1 species